GACGAACGCUGGCGGCGUGCUUAACACAUGCAAGUUGAACGCUGAAGCUCAGCUUUUGUUGGGUGGAUGAGUGGCGAACGGGUGAGUAACACGUGAGUAACCUGCCCCCUUCUUUGGGAUAACGCCCGGAAACGGGUGCUAAUACUGGAUAUUCACUGGUCUUCGCAUGGGGGUUGGUGGAAAGGGUUUUUCUGGUGGGGGAUGGGCUCGCGGCCUAUCAGCUUGUUGGUGGGGUGAUGGCCUACCAAGGCUUUGACGGGUAGCCGGCCUGAGAGGGUGACCGGUCACAUUGGGACUGAGAUACGGCCCAGACUCCUACGGGAGGCAGCAGUGGGGAAUAUUGCACAAUGGGCGCAAGCCUGAUGCAGCGACGCCGCGUGAGGGAUGGAGGCCUUCGGGUUGUGAACCUCUUUCGCUCAUGGUCAAGCCGCAACAAUGGUUGUGGUGAGGGUAGUGGGUAAAGAAGCGCCGGCUAACUACGUG
rnacentral:rRNA from 1 species